CUCUUCCUGUGUUGCCCCUUUUGUCCGCUGCUCUUCUUUCUUACCUUCAUCCUUUCUCAUUCCUCUCUUCUGCUCUUCUUUAUCUCUUUUUUACCUUUAUCCGCUCUUCCUGUCUCCUGCUCUUCUCCUGCUCUGUUCAGCGUCCAAUGCCUGCACUGCAGCUGUAUGUCAGAAUUAGUUUUGGGGUGGAGAAAGGUACUCGGGGCAUAGAUUUGUACGAGAGAAGCUCUCACGCUGUGCCCGAAAGGUGAUCAAAUGGAGCCCUCGGGAACCAGGACCACCAAGGCUGCUUGUUUCUCCAAAGGCCGCAGUGAAAGCUUGUGUUAACUGUGCAGGACUCCAUUGUGUGUCUCUGGGAACUGCUUUUGAAUGGGGGGAUUUCUUGAGUUGUUUCCAGUCCUGGCUCGGAGGAACUGAGGCUUUAAUCCUUGUGUCUUUGCAGGGAAGCAGAGCAGAGGAAGCGUCUGCAGUGAGACUCUCAGGAGAAAUUCCCUUCCUUGCAGCAGCAGCCUGUUUGUGUCCACGUGAUGCACGGUGAAGAGAAGCCUGCUGUUCUGUGAGUCAGCCUGCCACACGGUAAUAAUGGUUCUGGCCUCUUGGGUAAGUCUCUGAGGAGAGGUCUUUAGACAGGUCUUUAGACAGAUAUUCGUCAUCUAGACAAGCAGUGCUGUAGCACCAGAUAAGUGAGGAAGUGAAGCAGUAAGCUCCCACAAAGCCCCAAAAUGGAGUCCCAAGGGGAUGUUUUUCCACAGUGCCUCUCAAUGCCUGUAGAAAUGGGGGAGAGGUGAGGUGCAAUUCCUGUGCAUCCUGUGCCCACGCAGCAGGUGUCACCUACGGAGAGCUGGGAGCCCCCUGCUGUGUCCUGGAUUUAUUUUCCUUCCUUGUUGGAGCUUCUGUGAUGCUUUUGUGGGUGCUCUGUGCAUUUGAGGUUACUGUGAACUCUGCUGAGACCACAGAUGUGGUGUGGACUCUUCCUUUUGGCUUUCAAAUGUGUACAGGGGCAUUGCUAAUCCUUUUUCUUCUGGUGAUGGAGAUCUUCAGGCUGGACAGGAGGAGCUCUUGUCUUGCUGCAGCCACCCCAGCAUCCCUUGCCAGCUGUGCUGUGCCCAAACUCAUCCUCGCUGAUCCAUGCCAGCCGAUCAUCGAUGUCAGCCAUGUCCUCCGGGCUGCCUGCGCUUGUUGUCACUGCUGGAACAGCAGUCUGGAAAAGGCAAUCUGGAAAACUAUUCCGUCAGAAGAUGUGCUGUCCCUGAGUCAAAACAGUCGGACCACCCUAAAUUCGCAUCUGCAAGAGGCACAUACUGAAGUUUUUUUCCCCGUUAUCUCAUUUCUAAGAUGGUGGAGCAAUUUCAUCAAGUCUGUAGUCUGUGUAGUGGAGGAGAAAUUACUAGAACUUCACUAGGUGAAGAUGGCUGGAAUGAGCUCCUUCAUAUGACUCAAGCUGAACUCUGUUCAAGACCUGAUGACGUCUACCAUAACAUCAGACUUGUUGCAUUGUACCACUCACGCAAUAAAUUAAGAGAUGCUGUGCUCCAUAUUUAGGAGGCAGAAAAGCAAUUACGUCUGGAGAUAAGCUUGGAAUGGUGUUCCUGUGUUGUAAAGACACAUAAGGUAUUCCAUCAUCUUUUUGAUCCUGUCAUCAUCUUCCGUAUCCUCAAAAUUUGUCAUAGUCUCUUAGUUUUGUUCCACUGACAGCUAUUGCUCAAGUGAUUUCACUCCUCCAAAAGAUGAAAGUCUAUUGAAGCCAAUUGUUUAAUGGGGAUUUUCUUCCUCAAGUUAAGCCUUGUUUAUUUUCUAACCUCUAGUCUAAGCUAGAUAGAGCAGCUCCAUCAAGCAGAGAACUGUUCAGACAAGGAUUCCUGGAACUUCACUGCUGACGGAUAUGUUAAUGCCUGACCUGUGAAGCUCAGCUGAGUAGCAGUGUGUUCUGGACGAGUGAUGUCCUUGUUUUCACAGAAAGAUGGUGGUUCCUAAUCCUCUGAUGAACUUUAUUUUUCAAGAAUACCUUGACUCAUCCAGGACUUGGAAUCUAAUACAAAGAACUGGAGAGCUAUCAAGAGCGUUCAUCUGCUGGCUCAUUCUGGAAUUAUUAAAAUGAAAUUAGAUUCAGGAGAUGUCCGUCAGUGCAGAGAGGCACUUGAAAGGUGUUGUUUUAUCUUUUCUGUAUGCUUCUAAGCAAACAAACGGAAACAAUCCAGAACAGAAGAUUUUUUUCUUAGUCACAGAGCACUGAGCAGGCAUCAGUUUCCCCGAGUAACCGGUCUGUGGACAGGAGAUGAGUUUCUCUGUACUAUAACCACAUAUAUAUUUGUAUAUAACCACAAAUAAAGGUUCUUAGCAGGCUUGAAGCCCAAGCUAUGUAUUUGCCCAAGCUACAAGCCUUGCAGAAGACUUGCGAUAUCCUGGGUCUUUUGUCUUCUGUCUCCUCAGUAAGAGAACGUUAUUCUAUACUUCAGCAGUGGACCAGUUUUGUCCUGGUAAACUUAAUGUAAUCUUCAGUGAAAUAGUGAAGAACUGUAUGUGCAAAUGGGAAGCAGAAGGCCACCCUCAGUAAGAACAUUCUCCUUCAGGGAAACUGGUAGGGCCAGCUAAGCCAGCUGACUUCAAGGGGUAUCAUCUGUGGCGUAGCUGGAGUAGUGCAAAACAAUGUUUGUAGACAAUUCCUUGGCAAAGUUCUAUGUACCAUUCUUCUCAUUGUGUUUUCUUUCAUGCUGAUUUCUACUGACUUCAGCUGAUUUCACUUACAUAAAUGAAGGGAAGUAAAUAAAGAAAAAUAAAUGAAGAGCUUUGGGAAUUUGUGGCUCUUGUCCUGCUUUCUUGCACAACUCAAGCUUAAACAGCUGAGAUGGUAGUAGCAGUUGAAUCAUGAAGUUACUCAGUCCACAGUUAAAUAACACUGAUCCAAAGCACGCAAUGGCUUUUACCAGGACUUUGUUGAAAAUGAGUCUUGUCUG